rnacentral:lncRNA from 1 species
AAGUCCACAUCUAGCUACUGGGUGGUCCUAUCUCAAAGUUUCUUGCCCACAAAAGCCGAACGGUGACGCCCCAGACUCGGUUUCUUGGUUCCGUCCCAAAACGUCGAAGAAAGGCACAAUGGCCUAGAAAGGGACGACCGGACUUGGAACGGGGUCCGAGGCCUCGAAAGUCCAUAUCUGGCUACUGGGUGGUCCGAUUCUGAGCGAUCUCGAAGUUUCUUGCCCACAAAAGCCGAACGGUGACGCCCCAGACUCGAUUUCUUGGUUCCGUCCCAAAACGCCGAAGAAAGGCAAAAUGGCCUAGAAAAGGACAACCAGACUUGGAACAGGUUCCGAGGCCUCGAAAGUCCACAUCUAGCUACUGGGUGGUCCGAUCUCGAAGUUUCUUGCCCACAAAAGCCGAACGGUGACGCCCCAGACUCGGUUUCUUGGUUUCGUCCCAAAAGCCGAAGAAAGGCACAAUGGCCUAGAAAGGGACGACCAGACUUGGAACGGGGUCCGAGGCCUCGAAAGUCCACAUCUAGCUACUGGGUGGUCCAAUCUCGAAUUUUCUUGCCCACAAAAGCCGAACGGUGACGCCCCAGACUCGGUUUCUUGGUUCCGUCCCAAAACGCCGAAGAAAGGCACAAUGGCCUAGAAAAGGACGACCGGACUUGGAACGGGUUCUGAGGCCUCGAAAGUCCACAUCUAGCUACUGAGUGGUCCGAUCUCGAAGUUUCUUGCCCACAAAAGCCGAACGGUGACGCCCCAGACUCGGUUUCUUGGUUCCGUCCCAAAACGUCGAAGAAAGGCACAAUGGCCUAGAAAGGGACGAUCGGACUUGGAACGGGGUCUGAGGCCUCGAAAGUCCACAUCUAGCUACUGGGUGGUCCGAUCUCGAAGUUUCUUGCCCACAAAAGCCGAACGGUGACGCCCCAGACUCGGUUUCUUGGUUCCGUCCCAAAACGCCGAAGAAAGGCACAAUGGCCUAGAAAGGAACGACCGGACUUAGAACAGGGUCCGAGGCCUUGAAAGUCCACACAUCUAGCUACUGGGUGGUCUGAUUCUGAGUGAUCUCGAAGUUUCUUGCCCACAAAAGCCAAACGGUGACGCCCUAGACUCGGUUUGUUGGUUCCGUCCCAAAACGCCGAAGAAAGGUACAAUGGCUUAGAAAGGAACGACCGGACUUGGAACGGGGUCCAAGGCCUUGAAAGUCCAAACAUCUAGCUACUGGGUGGUCCGAUUCUGAGUGAUCUCGAAGUUUCUUGCCCACAAAAGCCGAGCGGUGACGCCCCAGACUCGGUUUCUUGAUUCCGUCCCAAAACGCCGAAGAAAGGCACAAUGGCUUAGAAAGAAACGACUUGACUUGGAUAGGGGUCCGAGGCCUUGAAAGUCCACACAUCUAGCUACUGUGUGGUCCGAUUCUGUGUGAUCUCGAAGUUUCUUGCCCACAAAAGCCGAACGGUGACGCCCCAGAUUCAAUUUCAUGGUUCCGUCCCAAAACGCCGAAGAAAGACACAAUUUCCUAGAAAGGAACGAUCGGACUUGGAACCGGGUCCGAGGCCUCGAAAAUCCACAUCUACCUACUAUGCCGUCCGAUUCUAAGUGAUCCCAAAGUUUCGUGCCCACAAAAGCCGAACGGUGACGCCCCAGACUCCGUUUCUUGGUUCCAUCCAAAAACGCCGAAGAUAGGCACAAUAGCCUAGAAAGGAACGACCGGACUUCGAACGGGGUCCAAGGCCUCGAAAGUCCACACAUCUAGCUACUGGGUGGUCUAAUUCUGAGUGAUCUCGAAGAUACUUGCCCACAAAAGCUGAGCGGUGACGCCCCAAACUCGGUUUCUUGGUUCCGUCCCAAAACGCCGAAGAAAGGCACAAUGGCCUAGAAAGGAACGACCGGACUUGGAACGGGGUCCGAGGCCUCGAAAGUCCACACAUCUAGCUACUGGGUGGUCUGAUUCUGAGUGAUCUCAAAGUUUCUUGCCCACUUAAGCCGAACGGUGACGCCCUAGAAUCGGUUUCUUGGAUCCGUCCCAAAACGUCGAAGAAAGGCACAAUGGCCUAGAAAGGAACGAUCGGACUUGGAACGGGGUCCGAGAUCUCGAAAGUUCACAUCUAGCUACUAGGUGGUCCGAUUCUGAGUGAUCCCGAACCAUAAAAGCCGAACGGUGACGCCCCAGACUCGGUUUCUUGGUUCCGUCCCAAAACGCCGAAGAAAGGCACAAUGGCCUAGAAAGGAACGACCGGACUUAGAACGGGGUCCGAGGCCUCGAAAGUCCACACAUCUAGCUACUGGGUGGUCUGAUUCUGAGUGAUCUCAAAGUUUCUCGCCCACUUAAGCCGAACGGUGACGCCCCAGAGUCGGUUUCUUGGAUCCGUCCCAAAACGCCGAAGAAAGGCACAAUGGCCUAGAAAGGAACGACCGAACUUGGAACGGGGUCCGAGAUCUCGAAAGUUCACAUCUAGCUACUGGGUGGUCCGAUUCUGAGUGAUCCCGAACCACAAAAGCUGAACAGUGACGCCCAGACUCGGUUUCUUGGUUCCGUCCCAAAACGCUGAAGAAAGGCACAAUGGCCUAGAAAGGAACGACCGGACUUGGAACGGGGUCCGAGGCCUCGAAAGUUUACAUCUAGCUUAUGGGUGGUCCGAUUCUGAGUGAUCCCGAACCACAAAAGCCGAACGGUGACGCCCCAGACUCGGUUUCUUGGUUCCGUCCCAAAACGCCGAAGAAAGGCACAAUGGCCUAGAAAGGAACGACCGGACUUGGAACAGGGUCCGAGACCUCGAAAGUUCACAUCUAGCUACUGAGUGGUCCGAUUCUGAGUGAUCUCCAAGUUUCUUCCCCACAAAAGCCGAACGGUGACGCCCCAGACUCGAUUUCUUGGUUCCGUCCCAAAACGCUGAAGGAUGACACAUUGGCCUAGAAAGGAACGACCGGACUUGGAACGGGGUCCGAGGCGUCGAAAGUCCACAUAUGGCUACUGAGUGGUUCGAUUCUGAGUGAUCUCGAAGUUUCUUGCCCAUAAAAGCCGAACGGUGACGCGCCAGACUCGGUUUCUUGGUUCCGUCCCAAAACGCCGAAGAAAGGCACAAUGGCCUAGAAAGGAACGACCGGACUUGGAACGGGGUCCGAGGCCUCGAAAGUCAUCAUCUGGCAACUGGAUGGUCCGAUUCUGAGGGAUCUCGAAGUUUCUUGCCCACAAAAGCCGAACGGUGACGCCCUAGUCUCUGUUUCUUGGUUCCAUCCCAAGACGCCGAAGAAAGGCACAAUGGCCUAGAAAGGAACAACCGGACUUGGAACGGGGUCCGAGGCCUCAAAAGUCCACAUCUAGCUACUGGGUGGUCUGAAUCUGAGUGAUCUCGAAGUUUCUUGCCCACAAAAGCCGAACGGUGACGCCCCAGACACGGUUUCUUGGUUCCGUCCCAAAACGCCGAAGGUAGGCACAAUGGCCUAGAAAGGAACGACCGGACUUGGAACGGGGUUCGAGACCUCAAAAGUCCAUAUCUGGCUACUAGGUGGUCCGAUUCUGAGCGAUCUCGAAGUCUCUUGCCCACAAAAGCCGAACGGUGACGCCCCAGACUCGGUUUCUUAAUUCCGUCCCAAAACGCCGAAGGAAGGCACAAUGGCCUAGAAAAGAACGACCGGACUUGGAACAAGGUUCGAGGCCUCGAAAGUUCACAUCUGGCUACUGGGUGGUCCGAUUCUGAGCGAUCUCGAAGUUUCUUGCCCACAAAAGCCGAACGCUGACGCCCAGACUCGGUUUCAUGGUUCCGUCCCAAAACGCCGAAGAAAGGCACAAUGGCCUAGAAAGGAACGACCAGACUUGGAACGGGGUCCGAGGCCUCGAAAGUCCACAUCUAGCAACUGGGUGGUCCGAUUCUGAGUGAUCUCGAAGUUUCUUGCCCAUAAAAGCCGAACGGUGACGCCCCAGACUCGGUUUCUUGGUUCCGUCCCAAAACGCCGAAGAAAGGCACAAUGGCCUAGAAAGGGACGACCGGACUUGGAACGGGGUCCGAGGCCUUGAAAGUCCACAUCUAGCUUCUGGGUGGUCCGAUUCUGAGUGAUCUCGAAGUUUCUUGCCCACAAAAGCCGAACGGUGACGCCCCAGACUCGGUGUCUUGGUUCCGUCCCAAAACGCCGAAAAAAGGCACAAUGACCUAGAGAGGGACGACCGGACU